UGUAGAUUCAGUUGGUGUGAAGAACAGCUCUCAGUCAUGAAGUGUUGAACUCACAUAUAAACACUCCCAGACUACUGAAGCUCAUACAUAGAGCAUGCAAAUAAAUCCAGCAUGUGUCAUCUAUUUCAGUUACUGGGGAUGUUCCCUGGAGAGAGAUCCACAUACAAAUAUCCUUCCCCAUGUCAAUGUGGAUGUUAUAUAUAACUACAACAACACAUUUACUAAUGAAUGUAAUUAAGUUUGUCCUGUGUACUACAAGUAAAUUGUAUUGUACGUGGAAUAUACAGCACAUUGAGAAAUGUGUGUUGAAAUGUAGGGACAGUCAGACAUUCAUGUCAAUAACCUUCUGUCUACAUGAACAUUGUUGACCUGUCUCCUUGUCAUUCUGAUCUUGAUCCCAAGACCAUCAGCAGAGAUCGUCUUCCUCAUGUGGUCAUGUAUUCUAUCAUCGGCAUGUUCACUCAUGCUUGGACUAAGUUCCUCAGAUCAGUCAGUGAACACUUGUGUCAACUAAAGCUGCUGGGAUCCUUUGCUUGUGGAGUCAGUCCACUGUGACUUCACCCCCACUGUUAAGUCUGGGAUCAGCAUGUAGAAGAAAGAAAUAUACAACAUGGAUCACUGUCCCAGCUGCUCUCUAUCCUGUGGACAAUAUGGAGGAACAUUAACAGUGGAUGUAAUGCUGGACACUGGCUCUGCUGUUGUCAUGGAGUCUGAUGAGGACGACAUGAGAGGUUCACCAGAGUUGAAGCAGACAGCAGCUGUGUGCUCUGGUAGAGAUGCAGCAUCACAACACAGAGAGGUUUUUGUACGACGACUUAACCAGAGUCAAUCACUGUGGUUGACUUUUGGUGGAGGCACAAGACUGGAUGUUGGAAGUAACCGUGCCCCCACCCUGACGGUGCUGCCCCCCUCCAGUGAGGAACUGUCCGGUAAGAGUACGGCCACGCUGAUGUGUCUGGCCAACCAGGGCUUCCCCUCAGACUGGACCCUCAGCUGGAAGGUGGACGGGAGCAGCAAGAAGAGCCAGGAGGCCAGCAGGGGGCUCCUGGAGAAGGACGGCCAGUACAGCUGGAGCAGCACCCUGACUCUCACUGCCCAGGAGUGGACCAGGGUGCAGGAGGUGACCUGUGAGGCCCAGCAGGGCUCCCAGCCUACGGUCACUCACACCCUGAAGAGAGAGCAGUGUUCAGAGUAGCCCCAGGCUCACCCAGCCCUGUGGAGAGGGGCUGCUUCCUCUGCUGGGACUCUGUUCUGUGUUCAGCCGUUCUCUGUCCUCCUGAUGGCUCACAUGCAGACUAACAGGGAGCUUUGCUAGAGUCCACGUGUCGCUGCUCUCUGUCCACUGAGCUGUUAUCAGUGCUAGUAUUGAUGUGUUCUGCUGGAGGUCACUAUUCACUCUGUACGUUGGCUUUGCUUUGAUGCUUGAAUGUUGUUGUUUUAGUUGGACAAUAAAGAAGUAUUCUU